CUCAGAGUGGGGCAGGAAUUUUAGUUACAAACAAAAAGGUCACAGAAUUGAGAAGCGUACGGCAGCAAAUUACUGCAGAUGCUGGAACAUGGGGACAGUUCCACAGCCGAAUAAGGAAAGCCCAAGGUGGACAAUUUACAUCCCAGGUUGGACAAAGGGUCAUCACUGGCCUGAAAUGGUGCUAACAUCGGACGAAAAAUGCUGGCCUAGCCAGUGAC